GUUUGCCCUCUUCUCUUACAAAAAAAAUUCAAGGGCUAAACAGAAGAAUAAUCAUCAUCAAACAUUGAAUGAUCUAUAUUGGCACUGAACAUCGCUUUAAGGAUUUUAGAAUUAUCAAGGAAGCAAAUUAGAUACGGCAAUAUACCCCAAACGGAGAUUCUUCAUAUUUUUUAUAGCAUUCUGUGGCAUUCGGUUCUACAGAUGAAUAAAUGCAGUACAACGUACAACCGAUGGACCUCUAGAAUGAAGAUAUCUGUGGUAAGUUGUUAAAGUGCUAAUACAGGACAGUGUUAGUGUUCAGUUAAUGCAAUUAGUUCGAAACGCACCAAAUGGACUGCAACUACAACACAAUAAGGCAGAGAAACGUCCGACUCUUAAUAAUUAUGCUUUUGAAUUUAAAAAGUACUCAAAGAAUGCGUUAGUAAUAAUUGUUUUAAAUAAGGUAUAUGGAUGUUUACUUGACUUAAUAUAACUUACAAUUGGUUUAUUUAAAAAUGAUGACGUGAACCAUUUAUUCAUAUAAUGUGCAAUAAUCUAGAAAUUUCGAAAUCUCAGUAGGCCCUGUGUUAGCACAAUCGCGACUAAAGCUCUGUUACAAAAUUACUAUUGUUAUGUAAUGUUUUUACUUAUUUAAAUAUUAAUUUACAAGUGUGAUAAUCUCAUCUACAUUGAAUUUCAAGUGUGAACUGCAUAUAUUUUGAUAGAUGUUGUAUAAUACAUAUGAAAAUCUUGUUGACCUCCAGUUAAUUUUUUUUUACUAAUAAGUCUAUCUUCAAGUUUUUAAAUAAUUCAUUAAUUAGCUGUAGUACUAGUUAUAUCGCUAAAUUAUUAACAUUUAAUGACAUCUUUGUGUGACAUUCCUUACAGGUUCUACUAUGUACCUACUUCUGAUUAGCACAAACGUACCACGUAAUUUUAUACGAAUACUUAUUGGGUUACGUUUGGGUUUCCACUUGACUACCAUAAAUCAAGUAUUUAAUUAAUAUAGCUUCCAGAUUUUCUGUUAUUCCUAAUGCCAUUCCUUCCAUAAACGUAGACCUAUCGGCGAAGAAAUGAAACGCCCAGUGAUUUGUAGAACUUUUAUAUUUAGUUAACAAAAAAAUCAGAAAAAAUCGAUGUCCCGCCUUUACCCCCUUUACCAUAAAAAAACCUGUGCCCUUAAUUCUUAGCAGACGACAAAUAAUGGCGUCUAGUUACUUGUCGCGCCGACUGAUUUUCAACUGUAGUUUUCCGUCACCAGUGUUCUAAAAGACAUCGAUAUCAGACCUGCUCCAUGCACCAUGUUCCAUGCAAACACGAAGAAAUGGCAGCCAUCAUUCUUUUACCACCUUUUUUUCGUCAGAUUAUCUGGUCCAACAAGCUUCUCCAGAUGAUAUAUGAGCUAUAAUUUCUAUUUGGCUUUCCUUGUACUGCUGUAAGCAGAUAUCUUCGUCAUUUUGCUUCAGUAACAAUACCAUAUUGUGCUCUUGUCAAAGGCUGUUUUCUUUUUCAUUCUUAUUUACGUAAGAAUCGAGUUAAUUUUACUUUAAUCCACUUUGUAGCAAAACCAUAUACCAGAAAUUUUCAAUCCCCGUCGCCAAUGUUUCUUUCAGGAUCAAUAAUUUCUUAUCAAGAAGUGUCAUUCUCUACUUAUUUCUCAAUUACAAAACUAUAAUGAAUAUUGCUUGAAGAAACUUUUCGCCCUACUGUGACACGUUUUUAAUACUUGCGAAAUAAGAAGACUCAAGAAAGAAGAUAUGACUUGAUCUCCCAUGCUGGAAGGGAAUUAGGUGGGUACUGUCGCAGAACAUCUGCUUAUCAGUUCUGAGGAGUUAAGUAAUUACUUACUUAAGUUAAUUGUAAAAAUAAAAAACGGUUUAAACUUUUACGAAACAUGUUCAAUGGUCAAACCGUGAAUAUUGUGAUUUGAAAAACUUUUUCGAUGGACGUAGUACAAACCGCUUACAAAUCUACGUAUUUCCGCGUCCGGCAAAGUUAAUUGUUAGGAUUUCAUUUUCAAUUAUUUCAUCGCAGACAGCGCGAUUAUGAUGUAAAUUUCAUUGUUAACACCGGAAAAAAAUAUAAACCAAUUUUAUGUAAGCUCUACUUUGCAACUAUUGCGAAAAGUGCUUGUACGUAAAUUGAUUCUCGAAAGUAAAAAAAUAAACCUAGGAUACAACCCUGGUUUACAUAAUGUGUCAUCGGUAGGGUCGUUCUAGUGUGAAAACUAGCGCCAGACAAAUUUUUAUCAUCUUGGCAGUAAACAUAAAAAAACAAUCAUAAAAAAAAGGGACCCACCUGCAAGCACUACCUUUCGGAUAAAAAAAGAAUUAUCAAAAUCGCUCCAUUAGCGGCGGAGUUUUGCCGUAACACACAAAAAAAACAUACGAAUUGAGUACCUUCUUCUUUUGGGAAGUCGGUCAAAAAUUAAUAAGUUUUUCAAUAUAAAUCGGGGAGGUUUGAGGAGGAGUACUUUAUUAAAUACAAUGUAAUGUACUUCAUAUCUUUGAUUUUACAGGAAUGUCAAACACCUAUGGAAUAGUUGAAAGGAUUUAAUUUGUUACUUUAUAUCUCUGUUACAACAAUGUAUCAAUUCACAUAUGUUACUCGAUUUGCUGGAAAUUUGCUUAAAAAGCGUCCGUUAAUCACGUGAUGCUGCACAGAAGUACGGAACAAUAACGAAAUAUCACGAGGGUCGGGGGAAUUUAAUGAGAUGUCCUUUGAAUUUUUCUGUUUGAUGAAACUACGACUACCAUAUCAGCAGAGGGGUGGGGAAGGGUUAAAAAGUAGCACGUGACUAAUGGACGACGCCUUACCGUGAAUUUCAAUUGUUGUGAUAACCUAUAUCAGAACAUAAUUGCCAUCUCUUCUUUUAAAUAGAAUGAUGUGGUGAGUUGCCUUACGUACUCGAACCAGCAUUUAACGUGUCACCUUUGCAGCAAACAGCACGUCACCUUUUCUUACUGCUUCCUCGCAAUUUCAAAUGAACGAUCUUCUAUAUUUGUAAGUUGCAAUCUACAGAUUUUAGACUUUUUUAUUUAAUUACAGGAAUUGUUUUUUCACGAACUAUAAAACACAGUUAUGUACUAAAUUAAUUUAACCUUGAUAAUAAUACUCGAAUAUGAUCUACAAAAGGAUUUAUAAGUUACUAGUAUUUUAUUCUUUUAUAGUAGUUUAUUUAAACGAGUAGUAUAAUUUCAAAUUCUCGAUCAAAAGCUUUUGCUGAGGUUGAACUUUUGUCAGUCAAACAAACAUCAUUUAAUUUAGUGACUCGUCUAAUUGAGAGCUUAAAUAGUUAUCGGUGUCGAUAAAAUAUGUUGGAAGUAUUAUUAAAAUUGGGAAUUUGUAAAUGUAGAAGUGCAGUAACAUCUUUUUAUGUGAAAUUUUCUUCAGAAAAUCUCAUUUGGGUAUAUACAGUGACCGUUGUUUUAACUCUAUAGUCGUUUGAAUACGCCUUAUAAAGUUUGCUAAAGAAAACACCGGUGAUUUCAUGCUGCAUUAGUUGGCGUUACGUUGCAAAAACGGACUUGUUUAUGUAAUGGUCAUUGUACGUUCUGUCUGCUGUAAAUGUAUUCGAGAUUUUUAAAUUAACUGUCAACAUAAAUACAUCUUUAGUGCUGAACAUGUAGCUGUAUUAUGCCGAGACGUAGCAAUUACAAAUUAAUUAGAAAAAUCUUGUUGAAAGAGUGAACAUGCUUACGAAAAAUUAUUUCAUUUAAUAUUUUUAACUCUUUAGUACAAACAUCUACAUUGACUUCAUAUAAAGCUUAAAUAUUGCCUAUAAUUGUUCUAAUCGGCGUCAACUUUUACUUUUGGGUAACUUAUAAAUAUCACCAGGUUUGAAGAAAACAACGUUGAAUAACUUGAAUUUACUGACAUUCUAAUCUUUAUUUGUUCAAAAUGCUGUAAUUAAUUUAACGGUUUCAUGUUGUUGAUUCCAAUAUAACAACUUUGUAUUGUAACUUAAUUACUAUUGAUUUGCAAUAUACGAAUUUAAAUACCAGCUGAUACCAACUAUAUUACAGUAACUCUCUAGGGGAAUGGUAGCCAACGUGUUAAUUCUAUAUUGUUUUUAAUUCAUAAAAACUGACACAAACAUUAUGUUUACAGGUAUCGGUGUUUAGCUAAGUGAGAUCUUGUCCCAUCUUCUGCAACAGGUAGAUAUCGCUUUUAGCGACCUUCGUAUGGCGUACCCGAAGCAAUUAUUUAAACAAGAGUCUAUCGCAGUGGUCGGCGCAGGCGGGGAACGUUCAUACACUUGGUUGUAAAUUGUUGCUAAUCUUUAACAUUGUACAUUAAGCCUGCUACACACCUUCAGUAACUGCUUUGUAACCGUACAGUUAAAGCUGAAGGUGUGUAGCUGACUUUACAUAAUAGAAUUUAAUAGAUAAACAUCUUGAAAAUUGAAGUAAGUCCUGUCACUAUGUGGUCUCUUAAGUUCAAUUAGUGAAAAAAAAGAUAAUGUAUUUUGGAACAUUUAUUUCGGCAACAGGAUAUAUACGUUAUUAUAUAGAUGUUAAAAACAUUUUAUCUAAUAAAAGGAGUCCCUUUAAAAUACACUUUAUAUGUGUAAAUGUAUAUUUUCGCUCUAUAAAUUAUAUGAAUUAAAGUCCAUGAGUCGAAUUUUAAAGCUUAGAGAAAUACUAUUUUUAUACAAAGUUAAGUAAAAAUACUUUUACUAUAAUAGUCUACAAAUGUUAGCAAUAAUUAACUUUUUUUUCUAUUAGUAAUUAAGUAAUUUCCCCGUACAAAGAAAUAAUCCAAGUGAAAUGGUUUGUUUUCAGUUGCAAUUUAGCCAUAGACAAUAUGUACUUGGUGCCAGCCUCGGUUGUGUUGUUAUUGAUUGUUCGAGAUUUAUAAAAUAAGCUGUGAUUUGUUAAAAUUCCUUGUUGGUUGUUGUUUUAAUGUAGAUAGAUUUUAUGUAAUAAGUAUAUCUGAUCUCUUGUAAAU